UACAGAGGGUGCAAGCGUUAAUCGGAAUUACUGGGCGUAAAGCGUGCGUAGACGGUUAUGUAAGUCAGAUGUGAAAGCCCCCGGGCUCAACCUGGGAAUUGCAUUUGAGACUGCGUAGCUAGGGUGCGGAAGAGGGAAGCGGAAUUUCCGGUGUAGCGGUGAAAUGCGUAGAUAUCGGAAGGAACACCAGUGGCGAAAGCGGCUUCCUGGUCCAGCACCGACGUUCAGGCACGAAAGCGUGGGGAGCAAACAGG
rnacentral:rRNA from 1 species